UACGUAGGGGGCUAGCGUUGUCCGGAAUCAUUGGGCGUAAAGGGCGCGUAGGCGGCUCGGCACGUCCGUUGUGAAAUCGCCCGGCUCAACUGGGCGGGGUCAGCGGAUACGGCCGAGCUGGAGCAAGCUAGGGGGUAAUGGAAUUCCCGGUGUAGUGGUGGAAUGCGUAGAUAUCAGGAAGAACACCCGUGGCUAAGGCGGCUCUCUAGUACGGUACUGACGCUGAGACGCGAAAGCGUGGGGAGCGAACAGG
rnacentral:rRNA from 1 species